UACGUAGGGUGCGAGCGUUAAUCGGAAUUACUGGGCGUAAAGCGUGCGCAGGCGGUGAUGUAAGACAGAUGUGAAAUCCCCGGGCUUAACCUGGGAACUGCAUUUGUGACUGGCGAGCUAGAGUAUGGCAGAGGGGGGUAGAAUUCCACGUGUGGCAGUGAAAUGCGUAGAGAUGUGGAGGAAUACCGGUGGCGAAGGCGGCCUUCUGGACCGAUCUGGACGCUGAGACGCGAAAGCGUGGGGAGCAAACAGG
rnacentral:rRNA from 1 species